UCUAGCAAACUGUAGAAGUACAAAGGACUAAAUUCCCAGUUUCACCACAAUGCAAGAACACAAAUUCCAUCGCCGCCACAGAUUGACAUUACAGAGGGAAUCGACAUGCAAACCAAGUGAGCUCUGAGUUAAUCUGUAUGUGCGCCGCGUCACGUGGAUCGCAGCUUGGAGGCAGCCAGCAUUAAAAGGAACCUGUCAAGCUAAGUGUGCUUCUCAACCUUUCUGCCAUUACCCUGACAUGUUUUGUGACCCGUGAAUUGAAGUCUUGUCAGGACCUGGUCAUUUUACCAGCUCACAACACGCGCAAGAGAACUCCCAGUAAAUCUGCUACUCUCAAAUAAAAAUGUUUUCUGUCUCCUCUGCUCAGCAGGUGGCACUGACUGGCUCCCCCCGCCCCACCCCAGCACAUAUCCUCCCCACUUGUCAGUUGGUCCCUGUGAUGGCUCAAGGACAGCCCAAGAAAAUCUGGCUUUAGGCUCUGGCCUUGCCAGUAAGUGGUGGAUGAAAGGGGAUGCUGGAAAUCGGCUUGGAUGUCAGCAAAUCCAGCUGAUCUGAGAAAGCUCUGCUGGAGUGUUGCGAUUGCCUGAGUGGUCGCAGGCUGGCUGGUGACUCUCUCCACUCGGGAUGAGGCUGGUUCCACCACAGGCUCUUGAAAGCAGAGGAGUUAUAAACAUGGGAACAACCAAAUGGAACUCUAAGGGACACUUCAGAUUUUGUUGUUGUUGCUGUUUAAAGCCGACGCUGCUAAUGGCCGCCGGCUCCCUCCACCUUCCCUCUCCACCUGGCAACAAGAAAGCGCCACCGUGACAGCGCGGCGCCGACUGCUCGCACCGGGUAUUGUGUACGUCCACUCUGCACCUUGGGUCACUAUUGCUGUGCCAACUGCUGGGAAGUAUCAUACAGUUACAGGAUCAAGGUGGUGGAUGCUCAUGGUUAAGCUUAUCUGCUGACUGAGAAUCAUAACCGGCCACUAUCAGAACAUUUAGGGGAAAAAAUACAUUUUAUGGAAGGUCUGUUUUUAAUUUUUUUGGGCGGGGGGUGGGUUCCUAAUCUAAAAGCUCACAUGCAAACAUAUUGAUUCCAGAAGACAUUUAGUCUGAACAGUUCAAGCUCUUCAGUUCUUUAUUCAUUCAUUCAUAUCUUUAUUCCAGACUCUAAAAGAUCCAUAGUAAAAGGAUAAAAAAAAAAAG